rnacentral:rRNA from 1 species
UACGGGGGGGGCAAGCGUUGUUCGGAAUUACUGGGCGUAAAGGGCUCGUAGGCGGCCAACUAAGUCGGAUGUGAAAUCCCCAGGCUUAACCUGGGAAUUGCAUCCGAUACUGGAUGGCUUGAAUCCGGGAGAGGGAUGCGGAAUUCCAGGUGUAGCGGUGAAAUGCGUAGAUAUCUGGAGGAACACCGGUGGCGAAGGCGGCAUCCUGGACCAACACUGACGCUGAGGAGCGAAAGCCAGGGGAGCAAACGGG